AAUAUUUGCUGGGGGUCAAUUUUAUAUUGUGAGAAACACCCUUGGAACCUGAUUCGGAUAAUACCGACGUAGGGAAUGCAAAAGAUGCACUCC
rnacentral:ncRNA from 2 species